UACAGGGGGGGCAAGCGUUGUUCGGAAUUACUGGGCGUAAAGGGCUCGUAGGUGGCCAACUAAGUCAGACGUGAAAUCCCUCAGCUUAACUGGGGAACGGCGUCUGAUACUGGAUGGCUUGAGUUUGGGAGAGGGAUGCGGAAUUCCAGGUGUAGCGGUGAAAUGCGUAGAUAUCUGGAGGAACACCGGUGGCGAAGGCGGCAUCCUGGACCAAUACUGACACUGAGGAGCGAAAGCCAGGGGAGCAAACGGG
rnacentral:rRNA from 1 species